UCUUCUCGUCUGGUAGGUGGCGCUUUAUACUUACGAAACCCUGU
rnacentral:antisense_RNA from 1 species